AAAGAUUAAGCCAUGCAUGUGUAAGCACAUGCCUUAAAACGGUAAAGCCGCGAAUGGCUCGGUAUAACAGCCACUGUUUAUUAAACUCUAGUUAUCUACUUGGAUAACUGUGGCAAUUCUAGAGCUAAUACAUGCACGCAGGCUCGGACCUUUUGGGAAGAGCGCACUUAUUAGACCAAAACCAAUCGGGCUUCGGCCUGUGUUUUGGUGACUCUGAAUAACUAAGUCGAUCGCACAGUCUUAGUACUGGCGACGUAUUUUUCGAAUGUCUGCCUUAUCAACUUUCGAUGGUAGGUUAUACGCCUACCAUGGUUAUAACGGGUAACGGAGAAUUAGGGUUCGACUCCGGAGAGGGAGCCUGAGAAAUGGCUACCACAUCCAAGGAAGGCAGCAGGCGCGCAAAUUACCCAAUCCCAGAACGGGGAGGUAGUGACGAAAAAUAACGAGGUAAUCCACUUUGUGGCUUGCCAUCGGAAUGGGCACAAUAUAAAUCUUUUAACGAGGAUCUAUUAGAGGGCAAGUCUGGUGCCAGCAGCCGCGGUAAUUCCAGCUCUAAUAGUGUAUAUUAAAAUUGUUGUGGUUAAAACGCCCGUAGUUGGAUCUUCGGUCUUGAAGCUCGGUAGCCCGUAAGGGUUUAACUGAGUCUUCUGGCCUCGAUUCUAGUUUUCUCCUGAUGCUCUUUAUUGAGUGUCUUGAGUAGCUAGGAAUUUUACUUUGAAAAAAUUAGAGUGCUAAAAGCAGGCUAUACGCUUGAAUAAAGUGCAUGGAAUAAUGGAAUACGACUUUAGUCUUAUUUUGUUGGUUUUCGAGAUUAAAGUAAUGAUUAAGAGGAACAGCCGGGGGCAUUUGUAUUGUUGCGUUAGAGGUGAAAUUCUUGGAUCGCAGCAAGACAAACAACUGCGAAAGCAUUUGCCAAGAAUG
rnacentral:rRNA from 1 species